GUGAUGGCUCAGGCAGCGCAUAUGACACAUUGGAAUUCAUACAGAGAAGAUUAGCAUGGCCCAUACAUAAAGAUGACACACAUUUGUGUCAUAGAAAUUGUUACU